rnacentral:rRNA from 1 species
GAUGAACGCUAGCGGCAGGCUUAAUACAUGCAAGUCGAACGGCAGCACGGGCUUCGGCCUGGUGGCGAGUGGCGAACGGGUGAGUAAUACAUCGGAACGUGCCCUGUAGUGGGGGAUAACUAGUCGAAAGAUUAGCUAAUACCGCAUACGACCUGAGGGUGAAAGCGGGGGACCGUAAGGCCUCGCGCUACAGGAGCGGCCGAUGUCUGAUUAGCUAGUUGGUGGGGUAAGAGCCUACCAAGGCGACGAUCAGUAGCUGGUCUGAGAGGACGAGCAGCCACACUGGGACUGAGACACGGCCCAGACUCCUACGGGAGGCAGCAGUGGGGAAUUUUGGACAAUGGGGGCAACCCUGAUCCAGCAAUGCCGCGUGUGUGAAGAAGGCCUUCGGGUUGUAAAGCACUUUUGUCCGGAAAGAAAUGGCUCUGGUUAAUACCUGGGGUCGAUGACGGUACCGGAAGAAUAAGCACCGGCUAACUACGUGCCAGCAGCCGCGGUAA